AAACAUGUCUUUUUGAAAAUAAUUUAAAGUUUAAUCUGCCCACUGAUNAAAUUAUUAAAGGGCUGCAGUAUUUUGACUGUACAAAGGUAGCAUAAUCAUUAGUCUCUUAAUUGGUGACUUGUAUGAAAGAUUGGAUGAAAUAUAUACUGUCUCUAUUUAAUUUAUAAAAUUUAAUUUUUUAGUAAAAAAGCUAAAAUGAAUUUAAAAGACGAGAAGACCCUAUAGAGUUUAAUAAUUUAUUUAAUUAUUAUUAAUAUAUAAAUUUUAAAAUUAAAAUUAAAUAAAUUAUUUUGUUGGGGUGAUAGAAAAAUUAAAUUAACUUUUUUUUUAUUUUAUACAUUAAUUUAUGAAUAAAUGAUCCAUUAAUAAUGAUUAAAAGAAAAAAUUACCUUAGGGAUAACAGCGUAAUUUUUUUUUUUAGUUCAAAUAGGAAAAAAAGUUUGCGACCUCGAUGUUGGAUUAAGAUAAAAUUUAAAUGCAAAAGUUUAAAAUUUUGAUCUGUUCAAUCAUUAAAAUCUUA
rnacentral:rRNA from 1 species